UAGUGUGCCAGAUUACUAAAACUUUAGUCCUCAGCGUGCCUUUGAUUGUAAAACUGUAGGGAGCCACCUUAAUAGGGGUUUGACUGUACUUUUCUUGCCACUUUUGGUAAUAAGUGUGGACUAGAGAUAAAUUGAAAAAAAGAAUUAACUAACCUGCAGAAAGCAGACCACAUAUAACUGAAAUCAAGAGUUGGGUGAGAUCAGAAAUUGAGUGCAACAUUUUCAAACUGUAUUUUUGCCUGAUAAUUUAUUUUUUUGUACAUUUAUGGUGCUUGUAAAUUUGACUUGUUUGUUAACAUUGUUUAUCAUUGUGGCAGUGUUGGCCAUAUCUCAUGAACACUGUGCAUGAGCAAUCUAGCAGGCACUAUCUUGAAUGUAAUUUGGCUUCUCUAGUUUUUAUCAGCAUAAAAUAAGUUUAACUGUACAUUGUGCUGUACAUGUAGUUGUAGCAAUUGAUUAUCAUUAAUGUACAUGAACAUCGUGUGUGAUGCUGUUACAUGUAAAUUUUAUGGUAAAAGUAAUCAUUAAUUAUGAUUAUCUUUUUGACUACUUUUAGAAAAAAAUGGUCUUUCAUUUAUUGAAACAUCAGCGCUAGAUUCAACAAAUGUGGAGGUGGCAUUUCACAAUAUUCUAACAGAAAUCUACCACAUUGUAUCCCAAAAGCAAAUCCACGAUUCCCCAGGUUCAGAUGGAAACCAACCAAGUAACAACGUGCAGACUAUUACUGUAUCUCCUACCACAGAGGCUGACCAUAAAAAGAAAGUUCAAUGUUGUAAUGCUUAGAUUACAGAAGUUUUAGUCUAUUGUUGCAGAAAUACAUAUUGGACUGUAAGUCCUUCUGUUUACUACAAGCAAGACCUUUCUUCAAAGGUAUUGCAUAUUUCAUCAUUAGCAUAUUAAUGUUAGAAAUGAAUAGUCUAGAACAAAGACUGGAAAAUUUAUUGUUUAAUUUGUGUUGAAAUGCUGUUAAAUGUGGGACUUCACUGUAUGUUGAGCAACUUUCAGUGAUUUUUAAUGGUGUAAAUGCAUUGCAAAAUUGAAAGGACCCUCAAAAGACAAUGUAUACGUUUCCUUUAAGAGCACACCAACUCACAUGUGUACACUUGUGAGAUGGUAUCCCCUGCAUGCUUGUACAUUGUAAGUCUUAGCAUCAACAUGCAAAUUCCCAUUUCUGAUUUCCGUGCAUUUCAUGAUGUACUGGUUGGGAGAAUUUGUUUAAAUAUCAAGUUAAUUUUUUCUUUGGUGUUUAUCAGUUUGAAAACAAUUCUCUCAAACUGUGCACCUGUAUUUUGUGUGGUAUUGUGAGGAGAAAUUGGGUGUUGAUUGCUCUCAGAAAUUAAGAUCAAAUAAGUA